UGAACGCUGGCGGCGUGCCUAAUACAUGCAAUUCGAGCGAACAGAUGAGGAGCUUGCUCCUCUGACGUUAGCGGCGGACGGGUGAGUAACACGUGGAUAACCUACCUAUAAGACUGGGAUAACUUCGGGAAACCGGAGCUAAUACCGGAUAAUAUAUUGAACCGCAUGGUUCAAUAGUGAAAGACGGUUUUGCUGUCACUUAUAGAUUGAUCCGCGCCGCAUUAGCUAGUUGGUAAGGUAACGGCUUACCAAGGCAACGAUGCGUAGCCGACCUGAGAGGGUGAUCGGCCACACUGGAACUGAGACACGGUCCAGACUCCUACGGGAGGCAGCAGUAGGGAAUCUUCCGCAAUGGGCGAAAGCCUGACGGAGCAACGCCGCGUGAGUGAUGAAGGUCUUCGGAUCGUAAAACUCUGUUAUUAGGGAAGAACAAAUGUGUAAGUAACUAUGCACGUCUUGACGGUACCUAAUCAGAAAGCCACGGCUAACUACGUG
rnacentral:rRNA from 1 species